GCAAACCGACACAGGUAGUCAAGAUGAGAAUUCUAAGGUGAGCGAGCGAACUCUCGUUAAGGAACUCGGCAAAAUGACCCCGUAACUUCGGGAGAAGGGGUGCUCUUUAGGGUUAACGCCCAGAAGAGCCGCAGUGAAUAGGCCCAAGCGACUGUUUAUCAAAAACACAGGUCUCUGCUAAACCGUAAGGUGAUGUAUAGGGGCUGACGCCUGCCCGGUGCUGGAAGGUUAAGAGGAGUGGUUAGCUUCUGCGAAGCUACGAAUCGAAGCCCCAGUAAACGGCGGCCGUAACUAUAACGGUCCUAAGGUAGCGAAAUUCCUUGUCGGGUAAGUUCCGACCCGCACGAAAGGCGUAACGAUUUGGGCACUGUCUCAACGAGAGACUCGGUGAAAUCAUAGUACCUGUGAAGAUGCAGGUUACCCGCGACAGGACGGAAAGACCCCGUGGAGCUUUACUG
rnacentral:rRNA from 1 species